ensembl:lncRNA
AUCCUGGCUACCUGAGGCUUUCUGAAGUGCCUGUAGAAGACAAUCCAGGCAGGAAGUAAACAAGGGACAACAGUGAAGAACCUCAGGACCACUCAUCCCAGACUCCUCUGACAUCCCCUAAACAGAGUGUGUUUCCAGAGACCAAGCUUGCUGAGCAUGGGAGGAUAGUUCUCUCCAUGCACAUGUGUAUGUGCACUCGUCCUUGUUGACUGCACACCAAUCCUGCUAGCAAGGCACAAUCCAAUUUGCUGUUUCCUUUCAACUGGAUCAACAUCAUUGCCUCCUGCUGAAGUUGUUAGGAGGGAUCACGUGAUGUCUGGGUUGCUGGCCAGUGGUAGGGAAGCCAGAAGUGAAGUGUGUGUGAGAACCAGGGGUGUCGAAUGUGGUUUCCUCUUGCAAAGCAGAAGCGUGCUAUAUUGCAGCCAUGACAUUGGAACGAUGCUGGAACUGAAUCAGUGAAGCAUAAAUAUGCCACACUAAAAACAUACUUAAGCCAGAAGUGCUACAAGGGAGCAGAGAUGGCCAACAGCAGGACAGCCAUCCAAACCUGCCUUUAAGUUAUGUCUUCUGCACGCUGAAGCAAAUGGCCCUCAACUCAGAAAAACAUGUGAAAUGAACUGGGUUCCACUGGUGCUCCCCAGGGAGCUGUGAUACUUCCAUGUAUCCUUCAGAGACAGGAAUGGUCAAUGGUUGGCACCCAGCUGGAUUCACAGUGCUGGAACACUAAAUCGGCACCAAAGAUGGACAAAAGGAAUGAGGUGGAAGAACUGUGUAUUCUGGAGGCACUCAGAGUAACAAAGCCUUUUCUUUAAAGUUAAGCAGUGGUAUACUCAGUGCAGUGGAAGCCAGCUACCCUUGCUCCCACCCCUAACCAUGAAGCCAUGGAUUCACACUUCAACUCUCCUUCCCAGCCUGUCCCAAUUAUUAUUUAAUUAUUUCAAGGGAUUGGAACAGCUCCAGGGAAUGAAGCACACAUCACUGCUCCAGCAAGCUCUAUGCUUUUGUGACCCAGAAAAUGGUUUAAAUCUAUAUGCAGAGAGAGAAGCGUAGUAUUGUUUCCCAUAAAUCAGUUUCCUCAGCAGUUACCCUACAGAAUAGUGAGGAAGCAUUAAUUUUUGGAGGGGACAGAGCCUGGUCUUGAGAGUGUACUCUGAGCAUAACUGCGGCCCCAGACCCACCAGGGAGCUCCAAUUUGUGCAAUGGGAUAAGGCUGAAGAACCAGCUGGGCACUGGGAAGUGUGGUCCUCUGAAAACUGUGAAGUGCUAUUGGCAGACCUUGGACUACUUGAAAAUGCUAAUGUAAAAAGACAUUUGCAGCUCUGAAUGUUGGAGACCUCCUGAACUCUGCAGAACAGGAGUUUUUCACUCUGGAGCCCCAAGCAGUGCUAAGGCAACCAGCAGCUCCAUGCAGAAGUAGAGCUGUGCACUUGCAUCUGCAAAACAGGUGUGAUGAGGUGAAAAAUUCUACGAGUGUGAAGUGCUUCAUGUUGUGGCAGUAGGAGCAACUUGAAUAACACAGACAAGCAGAAAUAAAAAA